rnacentral:lncRNA from 1 species
UUAGAAGUUCACAGCCCUUGAUUUUGCAGAAAGUUCAGUGAAGCUCACGGCGACGAAGGAAUAAGGAUAGACGUUUCAUAGUUCAUACGUUAACGCAAAAAGUUAAAAAUCAAGAUCUGGUAGACGGAUUUAUUCCGGAAACGGUGGACGGAGUUAUACCAAAAACAGCGUUUGGCACGGAAUAUUAACAAAAGUGAUGGACAGAGUUUUACUAAGAAUGGUGGUGUUGGACGGAGUUAUACUAAGAAUGGUGUUAACAUGGAGAUGCCUCUGUGGUUAUAAGCGUCGGCAAUUCAAGACUCCAUUAAAAACCCUAAUCGUGAAACGCUCUCUAGAUCUGCGAAGAUGAAGGCGUCGUCAAUUUGAAGAGAAGAAACGUCAACAUCGAUCCGUGUUAAAACCCCUAAUCGUCAACUCAUCUGUCUAGCCUGCAUAUCAAGGUAAUCGAGAUGAUGAAUAAUUAAUAGUUGUGUUAUUGAUAGAUUUAUUUCUUCCAAUAUGAGUUGAAUAAUUAAAAUAGUUGUGCAUUAUAUAUCCCCAUAUGAUGUUUGGGUUUGAGUCCCCGUUUAUGUAAAUUGAAGUAUAUAUCGCAUCUGAUGGCAUUACUAAACUGAUUCUUUUGUUUUAGAUUAUCUUACUAUGAGUUGAUUUUUUACUUAUUGCAUAUGCUUGUUGCAGUUUGCAAAAAACCCUAACUUUUUUGGGAACUUUGUGUUUCGUUCAUACAGAGAGUUUGAAAAUAUAUAGAAAACCAAAUCUUGGUUGAAGAUUCUAAUUUAUCUUAUGUUUUGAUGUUACAAACAUAAAUUAUUAAUAUUGUAAGUGAUCGAGAGGAAACCUAUUUUGUUGAGAUAUGGAACGUCUUGUGAGGAGUUUGGGGGCGAUGGUUN